GACGAACGCUGGCGGCGUGCUUAACACAUGCAAGUCGAACGGAAAGGCCCUGCUUUUGUGGGGUGCUCGAGUGGCGAACGGGUGAGUAACACGUGAGUAACCUGCCCUUGACUUUGGGAUAACUUCAGGAAACUGGGGCUAAUACCGGAUAGGAGCUCCUGCUGCAUGGUGGGGGUUGGAAAGUUUCGGCGGUUGGGGAUGGACUCGCGGCUUAUCAGCUUGUUGGUGGGGUAGUGGCUUACCAAGGCUUUGACGGGUAGCCGGCCUGAGAGGGUGAACGGCGACAUUGGGACUGAGAUACGGCCCAGACGCCUACGGGAGGCAGAAGUGGGGAAUAUUGCACAAUGGGCGGAAGCCUGAUGCAGCAACGCCGCGUGCGGGAUGACGGCCUUCGGGUUGUAAACAGAUUUCGCCGGUGACGAAGAGUGAGUGACGGUAAUGGGUAAAGAAGCACCGGCUAACUACGUG
rnacentral:rRNA from 1 species